rnacentral:rRNA from 1 species
AACGAACGCUGGCGGCAUGCCUAACACAUGCAAGUCGAACGAGACCUUCGGGUCUAGUGGCGCACGGGUGCGUAACGCGUGGGAACCUGCCCUUAGGCACGGAAUAACACUCCGACAGGGGUGCUAAUACCGGAUAAUGUCUUCGGACCAAAGAUUGAUCGCCUUUGGAUGGGCCCGCGUUGGAUUAGCUAGUGGGUAGGGUAAAAGCCUACCAAGGCGACGAUCCAUAGCUGGUCUGAGAGGAUGAUCAGCCACACUGGGAGUGGGACACGGCCCAGACUCCUACGCGAGGCAGCAGUGGGUAAUAUUGCACUAUGGGCGAAAUGCUGAUCCAGCAAUGCCGGGUGAGUGAUUAAGUCCUUAGGGUUGUAAAGCUCUUUUACCCGGGAUGAUAAUGACGGUACCGGAAGAAUAAGCUCCGGCUAACUCCGUG